AUUGAACGCUGGCGGCAGGCCUAACACAUGCAAGUCGAGCGAGCGGCGGAAGGGUGAGUAAUGUCUGGGAAACCGCCUGAUGGAGGGGGAGAACUACUGGAAACGGUAGCUAAUACCGCAUACCAUCAGAUGUGCCCAGAUGGGAGUAGCUAGUAGGUGGGGUAACGGCUCACCCAGGCGACGCUCCCUAGCUGGUCUGAGAGGAUGACCAGAAAAACUGGAACUGAGACACGGGCCGGACUCCUACGGGAGGCAGCAGGGGGAAAUAUUGCACAAUGGGCGCAAGCCUGAUGCAGCCAUGCCGCGUGUGUGAAGAAGGCCUUCGGGUUGUAAAGUACUUUCAGCGGAGAGGCGUUACCCGCAGAGGAAGCACCGGCUAACUCCGUGCCGGGAGCCGCGGUAAUUC
rnacentral:rRNA from 1 species